rnacentral:rRNA from 1 species
GUAACAACCAUUUGAGUCUGGGAUUUCUGAAUGGGGAAACCCACUUACAUAAGUAAGUAUCAUUAACUGAAUACAUAGGUUAAUGAGGCGAACCGGGGGAACUGAAACAUCUAAGUACCCCGAGGAAAAGAAAUCAACCGAGAUUCCGAAAGUAGCGGCGAGCGAAAUUGGACUAGCCCUUAAGCUUUACACGCGUUAGACGAACGGUCUGGAAAGUCCGACGAUACAGGGUGAUAGUCCCGUAGUUGACGACGUGUGUUCAGUGAAAUCGAGUAGGGCGGGACACGUGAUAUCCUGUCUGAAUAUGGGGGGACCAUCCUCCAAGGCUAAAUACUACUGACUGACCGAUAGUGAACCAGUACCGUGAGGGAAAGGCGAAAAGAACCCCUGUGAGGGGAGUGAAAUAGAACCUGAAACCGUGUACGUACAAGCAGUAGGAGCAGGCUUUGUCCUGUGACUGCGUACCUUUUGUAUAAUGGGUCAGCGACUUAUAUUCAGUGGCAAGGUUAACCAUCUAGGGGAGCCGUAGGGAAACCGAGUCUUAACUGGGCGUUCAGUCUCUGGAUAUAGACCCGAAACCAGGUGAUCUAGCCAUGGGCAGGUUGAAGGUUGAGUAACAUCAACUGGAGGACCGAACCGACUAAUGUUGAAAAAUUAGCGGAUGACUUGUGGCUAGGGGUGAAAGGCCAAUCAAACCUGGAGAUAGCUGGUUCUCCCCGAAAGCUAUUUAGGUAGCGCCUCGGACGAAUACUACUGGGGGUAGAGCACUGUUAAGGCUAGGGGGUCAUCCCGACUUACCAACCCUUUGCAAACUCCGAAUACCAGUAAGUACUAUCCGGGAGACACACGGCGGGUGCUAACGUCCGUCGUGGAGAGGGAAACAACCCAGACCGCCAGCUAAGGUCCCAAAUUACUACUAAGUGGGAAACGAUGUGGGAAGGCUCAGACAGCCAGGAUGUUGGCUUAGAAGCAGCCAUCAUUUAAAGAAAGCGUAAUAGCUCACUGGUCGAGUCGGCCUGCGCGGAAGAUGUAACGGGGCUAAGUAGUAAACCGAAGCUGCGGCAAUGUGCUUUUGCACAUUGGGUAGGGGAGCGUUCUGUAAGCGGUUGAAGGUGUGUGGUAACGCAUGCUGGACGUAUCAGAAGUGCGAAUGCUGACAUGAGUAACGAUAAAGGGGGUGAAAAACCUCCUCGCCGGAAGACCAAGGGUUCCUGUCCAACGUUAAUCGGGGCAGGGUAAGUCGACCCCUAAGGCGAGGCCGAAAGGCGUAGUCGAUGGGAAACGGGUUAAUAUUCCCGUACUUCUUACAAUUGCGAUGGGGGGACGGAGAAGGCUAGGUGGGCCUGGCGACGGUUGUCCAGGUUCAAGUGCGUAGGCUGAAGAGUUAGGUAAAUCCGGCUCUUUUUAAGGCUGAGACACGACGUCGAGCACCUACGGGUGUGAAGUCAUUGAUGCCAUGCUUCCAGGAAAAGCCUCUAAGCUUCAGAUUGUAAGGAAUCGUACCCCAAACCGACACAGGUGGUCGGGUAGAGAAUACCAAGGCGCUUGAGAGAACUCGGGUGAAGGAACUAGGCAAAAUGGUACCGUAACUUCGGGAGAAGGUACGCUCUUGAUGGUGAAGUCCCUUGCGGAUGGAGCUGACGAGAGUCGCAGAUACCAGGUGGCUGCAACUGUUUAUUAAAAACACAGCACUGUGCAAAAUC